rnacentral:tRNA from 1 species
GGAAGUGUGCCCGAGAACCUAGGGGCUACUCUGAUAAGGUAGACACAGAGACACAAUCUCUUACUUCCCA